GCCGCGUGUAUGAAGAAGGCCUUCGGGUUGUAAAGUACUUUCAGUCAGUGAGGAAGGCGGAGUCGUUAAUAGCGGCCUCGUUUGACGUUAGCUGCAGAAGAAGCACCGGCUAACUCCGUGCCAGCAGCCGCGGUAAUACGGAGGGUGCGAGCGUUAAUCGGAAUUACUGGGCGUAAAGCGCAUGCAGGUGGUUUGUUAAGUCAGAUGUGAAAGCCCGGGGCUCAACCUCGGAAUUGCAUUUGAAACUGGCAGACUAGAGUACUGUAGAGGGGGUAGAAUUUCAGGUGUAGCGGUGAAAAUGCGUAGAGAUCUGAAGGAAUACCGGUGGCGAAGGCGGCCCCCUGGACAGAUACUGACACUCAGAUGCGAAAAGCGUGGGGAGCAAACAGGAUUAGAUACCCUGGUAG
rnacentral:rRNA from 1 species